AUGGAGAGGGAGAAAUGUGGCCGCAUGACCCUAGUCAAGGCAAUCCUCACGGCGGUGGCAAUCUAUCAACUUACAUCGCUUGACCUUCCGAUGGAGGUGCUUAUGAGGAUUGAUCGCUUGAGGCGAGCCUAUCUUUGGGCUGGCUCUGACAAGGUGUCCGGUGGUAAAUGCAAAAUCAAUUGGGAGCAAGUGUGCAAACCCAAGGAGUUUGGGGGACUAUGUAUUCUUAACCUUGCGAAGUUUGCUACUGCGCUCCGUUUGCGAUGGCUUUGGCUUGGAUGGGAUGCCACUCCAAGAGCUUGGUGCGGCAUGGAGACGCCGUGCAACAAGGACGACAUGGACCUCUUCGCAGCAGCUACUAAGGGGUUGAGGCCCACAGAUAUUGCACCAAAAAUCUUUGAGAUUUCAAGGAAAAAAGGGGCCAUAAUGAGCAAGGUGAUUGGGGAUAAUGUUUUGGCCACUCACAUUGACACCCAACAUGGGAUGACGCUUGAACACAUUCAACAAUUCACCAUGCUGUGGGGAAUGAUAGCCAAUGUCACCAUCCAACCGGGAGUCAAUGAUUCUAUUAUGUGGAAGCUCACUAAUGGAGGGACCUAUACUACAUCUUCGGCUUACAUAGCCCAGCUCGCUGGUCUCGUUCGCUCCAAUAUGCAGGCCAUGGUCUCUCAUGCCGUGUACUACCAUGAUUGA
rnacentral:rRNA from 1 species